rnacentral:rRNA from 1 species
GGACCCGCACAAGCGGUGGAGCAUGUGGUUUAAUUCGAUGCAACGCGAAGAACCUUACCUGGUCUUGACAUCCUGCGAACUUUCUAGAAAUAGAUUGGUGCCUUCGGGAACGCAGUGACAGGUGCUGCAUGGCUGUCGUCAGCUCGUGUCGUGAGAUGUUGGGUUAAGUCCCGUAACGAGCGCAACCCCUAUCCUUAUUUGCCAGCACAUUAUGGUGGGAACUAUAAGGAGACUGCCGGUGAUAAACCGGAGGAAGGCGGGGACGACGUCAAGUCAUCAUGGCCCUUACGACCAGGGCUACACACGUGCUACAAUGGGAUGGACAGACGGCCGCAAACCCCGCGAGGGGAGCC